rnacentral:lncRNA from 1 species
GGGAUACAGAUCUCAGGGCUCGGGAGCCAUGUCAUGUGGUUGUCUUAUUGCACCAUACUCCUUGCUUCCUGAUGCUGGGCAAUGAGGCAGAUAGCACUGGGUGUGAGAAUGAUCAAGGAUCUGGACCCCAAAGAAUAGACUGGAUGGAAAGACAAACUGCACAGGCAGAUGUUUGCCUCAUAAUAGUCGCAUGAAAUUCUUCCUAAUGUCAGAACAGAGUGCAACCCAGUCACACUGUGGCCAGUAAAAUACUAUUGCCUCAUAUUGUCCUCUGCAAGCUUCUUGCU